AGACCCGAAACCCGGUGAUCUAGCCAUGGGCAGGUUGAAGGUUGGGUAACACUAACUGGAGGACCGAACCGACUAAUGUUGAAAAAUUAGCGGAUGACCUGUGGCUGGGGGUGAAAGGCCAAUCAAACCGGGAGAUAGCUGGUUCUCCCCGAAAGCUAUUUAGGUAGCGCCUCGUGAAUUCAUCUCCGGGGGUAGAGCACUGUUUCGGCUAGGGGGCCAUCCCGGCUUACCAACCCGAUGCAAACUGCGAAUACCGGAGAAUGUUAUCACGGGAGACACACGGCGGGUGCUAACGUCCGUCGUGAAGAGGGAAACAACCCAGACCGCCAGCUAAGGUCCCAAAGUCAUGGUUAAGUGGGAAACGAUGUGGGAAGGCCCAGACAGCCAGGAUGUUGGCUUAGAAGCAGCCAUCAUUUAAAGAAAGCGUAAUAGCUCACUGGUCGAGUCGGCCUGCGCGGAAGAUGUAACGGGGCUAAACCAUGCACCGAAGCUGCGGCAGCGAACGUAUCACUUAAAGCGAUUCAGCGGGUUACGAUUGACGGAGCGAAGCGACGUCAAAGCGUAUACAAAGUCGAGUCGGUUUAAGGAUACGUUCGUUGGGUAGGGGAGCGUUCUGUAAGCCUGUGAAGGUGUGUCGUGAGGCAUGCUGGAGGUAUCAGAAGUGCGAAUGCUGACAUAAGUAACGAUAAAGCGGGUG
rnacentral:rRNA from 1 species